rnacentral:lncRNA from 1 species
CUCCAUCCUCUCUACCAAUCAUCUUCACCUUUCCACUGAAGAGUUCCUGAAACAAACAAUAGUCAGGAAAAAAGGAUGCAGAACAAUUCAACUCCUUGGUUAGUUUAGCAACAAAUAACAGAUUAAAUUUGAACUGAGGAAUAUAAAAUACUCCUGAAACUGUGUUCUUCCCAUCUAGUGUGCUAGAACCUAGAUGUGUUACCAAGGCUUUAUCACCAUUUGGAAGAUGUACUUUCUUGGGAUUUUCAACUUUAGAUAUAGA